rnacentral:antisense_RNA from 1 species
GAAAGCACGACAUUGCUCACAUUGCUUCCAGUAUUAUUUUAGCCAGCUUUUGCUGGCUUUUUUUU